UCUUAAUUUAAAUUUUAGAAUACUGGAAUAUUAGGCGCUAUGUUCUUGAAAUUUAAAAAAUUUGGCGGUAUUUUAGUCUAGUUAGAGGAACCUGUUUUAUAAACGAUACUACACGCAUUAUCUUACUUCUUUUUGUAUUCAGUUUGUAUACCGUCAUUAUUAGAUAAUUUGAGAGAUAAUAUUAUUAGGAUCAAAAGGUUGAGUAUAUUAGAUCAAGGUGCAGCUUAUAAAUAAGGCAAAAUGGGUUACAAUAAAAUUUAUUUAUUAACGGAGUUAAGGUUUAAAAAUUUAAUGAAGGAGGAUUUAAUUGUAAAAAAGGAAAUAAUAAAAUUUUUUGAUAAAAGCUCUAAAUUAUGUACAUAUCGCCCGU
rnacentral:rRNA from 1 species